UACCUCUUCCACAAUUGCAUUCUCCCCUUUCUCUCUCUACAGCUCCACAGCUAAAGUGCACUGCAAAUCCUGAUUUUCUCCUUAAAAUUUUAAAAAAGCAAAAGCUACCAUCGCCAUUAACUCGAGCUUUAGUCACAGUUGCAGAGGACUCUGUCCACAGUCUAGAGGGAAAAAAGAAAAGAAAAAGGAGCUUCGAGCCAUCAUCGCUCGGGCUCUAUAAACAUCCAGUUUUACUUUUAAAUUUAUUUUUGGAGUUUCUAGAGAGGGAAGGAAGGGGCUUCAGGCUUUAGCUCAAUGGAAGCCCUAAUUAAAACGCUUGUUUGAUCCUUUAAAAAUUUGCUGGUCUAGUCCGUAGUGAUUCUUACUACUGAUUUUACUGGGUUUUUUUUGCUGAUAGAUUAUUCCAUGUAAAGUUGUAUGGUCAUCAGACAUGGAAAAAGUUCCAGAAUCAAAGUCACUUCCUGGAAAAUAUCCUGUUGCGGUCCAGGUAUCAAAUUCAUUAAUGGCCUCAGGAAUGGAAGUUGGUCAGGUUUCAAAUGUGCAUAGAGGAUUGUUGAGAGAAGUGGUUCGAUCUAAUGCAAGAGAUUUCCGAGAUUUAGACUCAUCUGCACCUCUAAGGAUGUGGAAGGGAAAAGAUUCCUUGCCUGAACGGGAAGAACUUAUGACUGAUAUCAUGACAUUUAAGAGCAAUGAUGAUUUGCUUGAGGAUGCUGGCUCUAGUUCUUUCUCUGGGGCUAGUCAUCCUGCAGAGCCAGUUGAUACAGAUCUGAUUGAAACAGUGUAUGUAUCAAUUGGUCAAAACAAAUCUGAGGCUGCAUGUCUGAUGAAAAACUUGUCAAGGAAGGGACCUUUUCUAGAAGAUCUUUCUAUCAGGGUUCCUCCCAAGAAACCAAGCCUGGCUAUUCUUUCACCAGCAGAAAGCUUGGUUGAAGAACCUGGUGACUUAGGGGUAGUGUCUUCUCCAUUUUCAGUUCCUCGUGCAUCACAAAAUACAGAGAACUCACUCCCUCCGGAUUCAGAGGAGAAGGAAUGUGUGUGGGAUGCUUCAUUGCCUCCAAGUGGCAAUGUAAGUCCACAUAGUAGCAUCGAUAGUACUGGUGUUGUCACAGCUAUGAGCAUUGUCAAUAGCUGUGCUAGUACAUAUCGCAGUGAUGCCAUUACAAGUGAUGGCAUGCUUAGUAUGGAGAGGAACUGUGAGAGUACGAAAGGCAGCAUUAGAGGGGAUUCUCUUGAGAGUGCAAAAACAAGUAUUAGUCGAGCAAGUGACAGCAGUGGCCUAAGUGAUGAUAGUAACUGGAGCAACAUUACUGGCAGUGCUAAUAAACCUCAUAAAGGAAAUGAUCCAAGGUGGAAGGCUAUCCUUGCCAUUCGAGCACGGGAUGGAAUCUUGGGCAUGAGUCAUUUUAGAUUACUCAAAAGGCUUGGUUGUGGUGACAUUGGCAGUGUGUAUCUCUCUGAGCUGAGCAGUACUCGAUGUUAUUUUGCAAUGAAAGUAAUGGACAAGGCAUCCCUUGCAAGUAGGAAAAAGUUGACUAGAGCUCAGACAGAAAGGGAGAUUUUGCAGUUGUUGGACCAUCCAUUUCUGCCUACUUUGUAUACACAUUUUGAGACUGAUAGGUUCUCAUGUUUGGUCAUGGAAUAUUGUCCAGGAGGUGAUCUGCACACUUUGAGGCAAAGGCAGCCUGGGAAACAUUUCUCCGAGUAUGCUGCACGAUUUUAUGCUGCAGAGGUUUUGCUGGCGCUUGAAUAUCUCCACAUGCUUGGUGUUGUCUACAGGGACUUGAAACCUGAAAAUGUUCUGGUCCGUGAUGAUGGCCACAUAAUGCUCUCAGACUUUGACCUUUCUUUGAGAUGCACGGUUUCCCCCACCCUCAUAAAGACCUCAUCAUUCGAUUCUGAUCCUUCGAAGCGGGCAGCUGGUGGUGCAUUCUGUGUUCAGCCAGCCUGUAUUGAGCCCUCAUCUGUAUGCAUACAGCCUGCUUGCUUUAUCCCUCGAAUAUUCCCUCAGAAGAGCAAGAAGAAAUCCCGAAAACCUCGUUCUGACCUUGGAAUGACAUCUAGUACAUUACCAGAGCUCGUUGCAGAGCCUACUGCAGCCCGGUCUAUGUCCUUCGUUGGAACGCAUGAGUAUCUAGCCCCAGAAAUUAUCAAGGGGGAGGGUCAUGGUAGUGCAGUUGAUUGGUGGACAUUUGGGAUUUUCUUGCAUGAACUACUUUAUGGUAAAACCCCAUUCAAAGGCUCUGGAAAUCGAGCUACAUUGUUCAAUGUGGUGGGGCAACAACUUAGAUUCCCAGAUUCACCAGCAACCAGUUAUGCCAGCCGUGAUCUGAUACGAGGCUUGCUAGUUAAGGAACCACAACAUCGGCUUGGUGUGAAGAGGGGUGCAACUGAGAUCAAACAGCACCCUUUCUUUGAAGGUGUGAAUUGGGCUCUGAUACGGUGCAGUACACCACCAGAGGUACCAAGACCAGUGGAAACCGAGCUUCCUGGGAAAUUUGGGCCUGCUGACUCGGUUGGCAUGAGUAGCAGCAGUAAAAGGAUGGUGGGGACAGACAUGAUGAAGUCUGGGGGUACAUAUCUGGACUUCGAGUUCUUUUAGUUGGGGUGAAUGGAUUGCUGUGCUGUGUUGUAUGUGUAUCAUCAUUUGUUAAUUCUGCAAGAGUAUUCUUGCAUUAACCUGAGCUGAAUCACUUGAAAGACGAAAAAAAUUCAUCACAACUGGAAAUGAAUAGCUUCAGUUUACAAGACUUGAUCUAUGGUGUAAAUCAAAUGGAAUGAACGGACCAUUUCGCACCGUAUGAUUCUAAUUUAGUUUUCGUUUGGAAAAGCUAUAUGCCGGGCCAAUUUAUUCCAUUUUGCAAAAUGGGAAACCUUCAGCUACUGGCCUGACUCUAUGUUUCGGAAGCACCAGAGACUGAGAGACACCGAUGAAUCAAUCUGAAUCUUACAAUCAGUGGGUUUUUCUAUUUUUUUUGUUGGUUGGUUUCUGUUUUACUAAAUACACCAAGGGAUGAAUAGUCAUAGUAGGUAACACAUACGAUACAAACCUUUUUAUGUAGCUCUCGUAAAUUUUCCGAUUAAAAGGGAGAAAUGAGGCCCACAGCCACAGCUGCUAGCUCUUUACAAAUUUGAUUUCUUCAAAGAAUUGUCCCCAAUCUUCAACAAUUACAUUCCUUUCAUCUUUUGCA